GACGAACGCUGGCGGCGCGCCUAACACAUGCAAGUCGAACGGAGUCAAGAGGAGCUUGCUUUUCUUGACUUAGUGGCGAACGGGUGAGUAACGCGUGAGUAACCUGCCCUGAAGUGGGGGACAACAGUUGGAAACGACUGCUAAUACCGCAUAAGCCCACGAUCCGGCAUCGGAUUGAGGGAAAAGGAUUUAUUCGCUUCAGGAUGGACUCGCGUCCAAUUAGCUAGUUGGUGAGGUAACGGCCCACCAA
rnacentral:rRNA from 1 species